UGGAAAUCACAUGUAGAGAGUAAAGGCACAAGGGAUCUUGAUUGUGAGACCUACAAGUCGAGCAGGGACGAAAGUCGGGCUUAGUGAUCCGGUGGUUCCGCAUGGAAGGGCCAUCGCUCAACGGAUAAAAGCUACCCCGGGGAUAACAGGCUUAUCUCCCCCAAGAGUCCACAUCGACGGGGAGGUUUGGCACCUCGAUGUCGGCUCAUCGCAUCCUGGGGCUGUAGUCGGUCCCAAGGGUUGGGCUGUUCGCCCAUUAAAGCGGUACGCGAGCUGGGUUCAGAACGUCGUGAGACAGUUCGGUCCCUAUCCGUCGUGGGCGUAGGAAAUUUGAGAGGAGCUGUCCUUAGUACGAGAGGACCGGGAUGGACACACCGCUGGUGUACCAGUUGUCUUGCCAAAGGCAUCGCUGGGUAGCUAUGUGUGGACGGGAUAAGUGCUGAAAGCAUCUAAGCAUGAAGCCCCCCUCAAGAUGAGAUUUCCCAUAGCGUAAGCUAGUAAGAUCCCUGAAAGAUGAUCAGGUUGAUAGGUCAGAGGUGGAAGCGUGGCGACAUGUGUAGCUGACUGAUACUAAUCGAUCGAGGACUUAACCAAA
rnacentral:rRNA from 2 species